UGCCAGACUCCUACGGGAGGCAGCAGUGGGGAAUAUUGCACAAUGGGGGAAACCCUGAUGCAGCGACGCCGCGUGAGCGAUGAAGUAUUUCGGUAUGUAAAGCUCUAUCAGCAGGGAAGAAGAUGACGGUACCUGACUAAGAAGCCCCGGCUAACUACGUGCCAGCAGCCGCGGUAAUACGUAGGGGGCAAGCGUUAUCCGGAUUUACUGGGUGUAAAGGGAGCGUAGACGGCAUGGCAAGUCAGAUGUGAAAGCCCGGGGCUCAACCCCGGGACUGCAUUUGAAACUGUCAGGCUGGAGUGCAGGAGAGGUAAGUGGAAUUCCUAGUGUAGCGGUGAAAUGCGUAGAUAUUAGGAGGAACACCAGUGGCGAAGGCGGCUUACUGGACUGUAACUGACGUUGAGGCUCGAAAGCGUGGGGGGCAAACAGGAUUAGAUACCCCGGUACUG
rnacentral:rRNA from 1 species